rnacentral:rRNA from 1 species
GAUGAACGCUAGCGGCAGGCUUAAUACAUGCAAGUCGUGGGGCAGCAGGACUGUAGCAAUACAGUUGCUGGCGACCGGCAAACGGGUGCGGAACACGUACGCAACUUACCCUGGACUGGGGGAUAGCCCGGGGAAACCCGGAUUAAUACCCCGUAAUAUAAUGGAGUGGCAUCUCUUUAUUAUUAAAGCUCCGGCGGUUCGGGAUGGGCGUGCGGCUGAUUAGGUAGUUGGUUGAGCUAACGGCUCACCAAGCCUACGUUAAGGAACUGGUGUGAGAGCACGACCAGUCACACGGGAACUGAGACACGGGCCCGAAUCCUACGGGAGGCAGCAGUAAGGAAUAUUGGGCAAUGGAGGCAACUCUGACACAGCCAUGCCGAGUGGAGGAUGAAGGCCAUCUGGGUUGUAAACUUCUUUUAUAGGGGACGAAACCUGUGUAUUCUUACGCCGUUGACGGUACCCUAGGAAUAAGCACCGGCUAACUACGUG